rnacentral:rRNA from 1 species
UACGUAGGGUGCGAGCGUUGUCCGGAAUUAUUGGGCGUAAAGGGCUCGUAGGCGGUUUGUCACGUCGGGAGUGAAAACUCAGGGCUUAACCCUGAGCCUGCUUCCGAUACGGGCAGACUAGAGGUAUGCAGGGGAGAACGGAAUUCCUGGUGUAGCGGUGAAAUGCGCAGAUAUCAGGAGGAACACCGGUGGCGAAGGCGGUUCUCUGGGCAUGUCCUGACGCUGAGGAGCGAAAGUGUGGGGAGCGAACAGG